AGAGUUUGAUCAUGGCUCAGAACGAACGCUGGCGGCAGGCUUAACACAUGCAAGUCGAACGCCCCGCAAGGGGAGUGGCAGACGGGUGAGUAACGCGUGGGAACGUGCCUUUCGGUUCGGAAUAGGCCGGGGAAACUCGGGUUAAUACCGGAUACGCCCUCAGGGGGAAAGAUUUAUCGCCGAAAGAUCGGCCCGCGUCUGAUUAGCUAGUUGGCGGUGUAAUGGACCACCAAGGCGACGAUCAGUAGCUGGUCUGAGAGGAUGAUCAGCCACACUGGGACUGAGACACGGCCCAGACUCCUACGGGAGGCAGCAGUGGGGAAUAUUGGACAAUGGGCGCAAGCCUGAUCCAGCCAUGCCGCGUGAGUGAUGAAGGCCUUAGGGUUGUAAAGCUCUUUCUACGGGGACGAUUAUGACGGUACCCGUAGAAUAAGCCCCGGCUAACUU
rnacentral:rRNA from 2 species